rnacentral:misc_RNA from 1 species
AAGAGGAUGAAGUGCGUGAAGUUGAUGAUGAGAAUCUUGACCUGAACCAAGAAUUUGAAGAUCUGCAAUUAGGUCAGGGAGAAUUAUCUCGCAAUAUAGAUAAUUUGGUUUUGGGUUUUGAUGAUGGUGUUGAAGUUGCAAUACCCAGUGAUGAUUUCGAGAGGAACUCACGGAAUGAAGAAAGUGUAUUUGAUAGACCUGAAACCUCGGAAGGUGGAUCUAUAAAUGGGGUUCAAGUUAAUGAAAAAUGCCUUCAUCCUGGUCAAGGGGGGGCCCCUGGGGCAAGCUUGGAUAGCUCUUCUAACAGGGUCCAGGAAGCUGAAAAAACUAUGCAAGAAUCUGAAUUUAGACAGAGAACUGAACCUCACACUUCAGCAGCGUCACACCUAUUGGAUGGUAUUGAUGCUUAUUGUGGCCCUAGCCUAUGUGCUCAGCAAACUUUCUCAUCUGUUGGCACCCCAUGUUCUGUUGGUCAGACUAGUGUGUCAAGUUUAGCUUCUUCUAGUCAACCUGAUUUACCUGUUAAGCUUCAGUUUGGCCUGUUUUCUGGUCCUUCUUUGAUACCUUCACCAGUACCAGCUAUCCAAAUUGGUUCCAUUCAAAUGCCUCUUCAUCUUCAUCCACCAGUUGGUCCAUCCCUUACUCAUAUACAUCCAUCACAGCCUCCUAUCUUCCAAUUUGGUCAGCUCAG